rnacentral:lncRNA from 1 species
ACAAGCCAAGAGAUACAAAGAGAAAAGUGUGACUGCUCUGACAGCAAAAACAAGCAAAUAUCUCCAGAGGGGAUUAGUCCCUCUGCUUCAAAGUAACCAAAACAAAGAGAGCUGAGCCAGCUUCACUGGAACAACUCCUAUCCAUCAAACCAGAAUGAGCUCAG